AAGUUGAACGAAGUACUUGGGUUACUCGGAGUAACUUAGUAGCGGACGGGUGAGUAACGCGUGAAUAACCUACCUUUGUGAGGGGAACAACAGCUGGAAACGGCUGCUAAUACCGCAUAAGGCCACGGUGUCGAGUGACACAGUGGUAAAAGAUUUUAUCGCACAAAGAUGGAUUCGCGUCCCAUUAGCUAGUUGGUGAGGUAACGGCUCACCAGGGCAACGAUGGGUAGCCGACCUGAGAGGGUGAUCGGCCACACUGGAACUGAGACACGGUCCAGACUCC
rnacentral:rRNA from 1 species